GGGUCAGUAGGUUGGUCGUGCCACCGGUACGUACUGGUCUCACUGAUUCCUCCUUCCUGAAGAACCGUAAUGCCAUUAAUUUGGUGUUGCGGGGAAACAGGACUGUUACUUUGAAAAAAUUAGAGUGUUUAGAGCAAGCUAACGCUUGAAUACAUCAGCAUGGAAUAAUGAAAUAGGACGAUCGAUCCUAUUUUGUUGGUUUCUAGGAUUGACGUA
rnacentral:rRNA from 1 species